UACGGGGGGGGCAAGCGUUGUUCGGAAUUACUGGGCGUAAAGGGCUCGUAGGUGGCCAACUAAGUCAGACGUGAAAUCCCUCGGCUUAACCGGGGAACUGCGUCUGAUACUGGAUGGCUUGAGUUUGGGAGAGGGACGCGGAAUUCCAGGUGUGGCGGUGAAAUGCGUAGAUAUCUGGAGGAACACCGGUGGCGAAGGCGGCGUCCUGGACCAACACUGACACUGAGGAGCGAAAGCCAGGGGAGCAAACGGG
rnacentral:rRNA from 1 species